AUUGAACUCUGUCGGCAGGCUUAACACAUGCAAGUCGAGCGAGCGGCGGACGGGUUAGUAAUGUCUGUGAAACUGCCUUAUGGCGGGGGAUAACUACUGGAAACUGUAGCUAAUUCCGCAUACCAUCAGAUGUUACCAGAUGGGAUUAGCGAGUAGGAGGGGCAAUGGCGCACCUAGGCGACUAUCACGAGCGAGUCUGUGAGGAUGACCAGCCACACUGGAACUGAGACACGGUCCAGACGCCUACGGGAGGCAGCAGUGGGGAAUAUUGCACAAUGGGCGCAAGACUGAUGCAGCCAUGCCGAGGGUGUGAAGAAGGCCUUCGGGUUGUAAAGCACUUUCAGCGAGGAGGCGUUACUCGCAGAAGAAGCACCGGCUAACUCCGUGCCAGCCGCCGCGGUAAUUC
rnacentral:rRNA from 1 species